rnacentral:rRNA from 1 species
UAAWAAAUUWAGUCAACCCCUGUGAACAUACCUAUACGUUGCCUCGGCGGAUCAGCCCGCGCCCCGUAAAACGGGACGGCCCGCCCGAGGACCCUAAACUCUGUUUUUAGUGGAACUUCUGAGUAAAACAAACAAAUAAAUCAAAACUUUCAACAACGGAUCUCUUGGUUCUGGCAUCGAUGAAGAACGCAGCAAAAUGCGAUAAGUAAUGUGAAUUGCAGAAUUCAGUGAAUCAUCGAAUCUUUGAACGCACAUUGCGCCCGCCAGUAUUCUGGCGGGCAUGCCUGUUCGAGCGUCAUUUCAACCCUCAAGCUCAGCUUGGUGUUGGGACUCGCGGUAACCCGCGUUCCCCAAAUCGAUUGGCGGUCACGUCGAGCUUCCAUAGCGUAGUAAUCAUACACCUCGUUACUGGUAAUCGUCGCGGCCACGCCGUAAAACCCCAACUUCUGAAUGUUGACCUCGGAUCAGGUAGGAAUACCCGCUGAACUUAAGCAUAUCAAUAAGCGGAGGAA